AUUGCAAUUCAGCGACUCAAGUAAAUAAAAUAUUGUUUAAAGCAUGGAGAGAGCGAUGGUCGCUAAAAAAAUGGGCAAGUGAGACAGAGACACUUUCUUUUAAAAACAGAGAACUGCUAUGUGAGAAACUUUUUUCAUUUGUCUCCUUUGGGAAUAAACCAAGCUCCACCUUUAUAUGUUAUAUCGUACACGCAGUUGCUCUUAAAUUCUUUUCCAUCUACCAAAUAGCAAAUCUAGUUGUGCGAACUAUUCAC